UGCAGGAAGCCCCCUGUCUGUCUCCUGGGCCCCGGGCCUCAGCCUCCGUGCGCGCCCCCACGCGCGCUCCUCCACCGACUGGGAGGACGGAGACUGGCCCCGGAGGCGCUCGCACCCCGCGGCGGGGGUCGGGAGAGGCAGCCUGGCCCCAGCUCCUUACAUCCGGCUGCGCUGAGUGAGAAACGGGGUCCCCCGGACCGCCCCCGUCCCGAGGCUUCGGCGCCCGGACUUACCUCCGCCGGUCACCGAGACCUGGGCCAGGCUGGGGUGGUGCUGGCUUCCUGCUAUUUUUAGUCCCUGGUGUUCAUCAUCCCUUGUGGAUUCUCUUAUCGCUGAGUCUGCAGGCAAAUCUUACUACUUAUUUCACUAAGUUACUCUGUCUCCCUAAGCUGAAAUCUUUCACCUGUAAAAUGAAGUACUAACCCUACGGCAGGUGGAGAAAGUUCCAUGAGGGUGUGUGCCUGACAUAGUGUGGUGCCUGGCACACAGAAGACCCCAACAUAAGUUA